rnacentral:rRNA from 1 species
CGGCAGGCUUAAACAUGCAAGUCGAACGGUAACAGAACUAGCUUGCUAGUUGCUGACGAGUGGCGGACGGGUGAGUAACGCGUAGGAAUCUACCGAGUAGUGGGGGACAACAGUUGGAAACGACUGCUAAUACCGCAUAAUCCCUGAGGGGGAAAGGAGGGGAUCUGUUUACAGACCUUUCGCUAUUUGAUGAGCCUGCGUGAGAUUAGCUAGUUGGUGAGGUAAUGGCUCACCAAGGCGACGAUCUCUAGCUGGUCUGAGAGGAUGAUCAGCCACACUGGAACUGAGACACGGUCCAGACUCCUACGGGAGGCAGCAGUGGGGAAUAUUGCACAAUGGGGGAAACCCUGAUGCAGCCAUGCCGCGUGUGUGAAGAAGGCCUUCGGGUUGUAAAGCACUUUCAGCGAGGAGGAAAGGAGUAUGUUUAAUAAACGUGCUCUGUGACGUUACUCGCAGAAGAAGCACCGG